UAUCACCGUUUAGACUAAUCUGAUGUUUGUAAAGUCUAUAAACACAAUGACUGAACAAACAUUAGUAUUUUCUCUGUGUGUAAUUAAUAACAUGGUUAUCGUAGAUUAGCUGGGUUAACCGUUAGCUGUUAGCUGUUAGCUGUUCGCCGUGUCUGUAAUAACUCACUAAACUCACAAAGUGGCCUGUGAAAAAAAUAUUUUCUCCAGCGGAUGUCUUAGUUACAACAUGAUUGAGCUAACUGGAGUAGUUUUCCGACAACGGGAGGCUUUUACCGGAUGACGAUCCUGAUGUUAGCUUUGCUGCUGCUGUUAACAUUAGCUGUCCCUGUCAGCUGCAGCCGCUGAUGCUUUCUAGACAUCGUGAUUUCCCAAAACUGAAUAAAUACCACACAUAGCAACACAAAACUGCUUUGCUAGCUCAAUCGUGUUGUAACGGCUGGAUUGUUGAUGCGUACAUGCUGAUUCAGGUGCUAUCAGAGCCGAUCCACGCAUCGCUAUGGCUUAAUGAUCAACAGAAAGAAAGAAAGAAAAAAAGAAAGAAAGAAAAGGGAAAAAAAGAUAGAAAAGCAGCGUACACCUCACAUAUUUAUUUCUCACAGUUGCGCACACGUUUGGCUGGCAUGCAGAAGCACCAUCUGUGUGUCUAGGGUGCGAGCCGCAGCUUCAGCUGCUCAGGUAGAGAGGCUUAGCCCGGUGUGUUUUUUCGCUGAUUCGGUUCUGCAGGUUCUCUGCUGGUAUACUGGAGAUGGGGAUCAAGCAGUUUGUCUCACUCGCGAUAGAUUGUGCUUUUUUGGUUCAUAGUUCAUGAUUGACGUGCAAUUUAUUCGCGUUUAGAGGGAAUAAAUUUCUGUUAUAACGGAAACAUGGGCACAGUUCAUUCAUUCAUUCAUCUUCUAACCGCUUCAUCCUCUUGAGGGUCGCGGGGGGGCUGGAGCCUAUCCCAGCUGACAUCGGGCGAGAGGCAGGGUACACCCUGGACAGGUCGCCAGACUAUCGCAGGGCUGACACAUAGAGACAGACAACCAUUCACACUCACAUUCACACCUAUGGACAAUUUAGAGUUACCAAUUAACCUAGUCCCCAAUCUGCAUGUCUUUGGACUGUGGGAGGAAGCCGGAGUGCCCGGAGAGAACCCACGCUGACACGGGGAGAACAUGCAAACUCCGCACAGAAGGGCUCCCAUGCCCGGGAUUGAACCGGCAACCCUCUUGCUGUGAGGCGAGAGUGCUAACCACCACACCACCGAUGGGCACAGUUAUCUAUACAAAAUACACAGACUAACUAACUAACUAACUAACUGAUUGACUAACAUAAACAACUGAAAAUUGAAAAAAAAAAUAGCUUGCACCGUUAGCUCCAGUAAGGGAAAGCAUGAGGGAAAGCGGCUGACCAGAAGUCACGCACAAAAAAACGGAAGUUGAUCACUAUUUACUUCCGUGUUUGAAAAUAAGGUGGAUAGAUAUCCCAAAAAUCUCAUUUGACAAAUUAGACAAGCUAAUCUCAACAUUUAUCUGGCAAAGAAAGCAGCCAAGAAUUAGAUUAAAAAUACUACAGCUAUUUAAAGCAAAAGGGGGGCUCAAACUUCCAAAUUUGAGAUAUUAUUUUUGGGCUGUGCAAUUAAGACCAUUAACAAUAUGGAUUCAGGACCUGUCAUACACACGCUGGCUCAAUGUUGAGAAGGGUUUAUGUGAGAGACCUUUACAAGCCCUGCCAUUCCUAGGAGCCCACCCAAGUGAAAUAGAUAUGGAAGACAAUGAAACGUGACUUUGGCCUGCCUAAAACAAUUUCAGCACUCACAAAUAUUGGAUAUAUAAAUGGUUUUAUGCCCUCCAAAAUGGAUUCAAGGUUUAGAAAAUGGUUAAAGUACGGACUCACCAACCUCCAUCAACUCCAUGAUUCUGGCAACUUUAAAUAAUUUGCAGUUAUCGGAAGAAUUUAAGCUACCAAAUACGGAUUUUUUCAGGUAUCUACAGUUAAGGGAUUUCCUAUUAAUGCAUGAAGAAUGGGUCAAAGUUGUUAAGCCUACACUAAUUGAAGAACUACUGAUAAAAGCACGAACAAGGAAUUGGGAUAAGAAAUUAAUAAGCUAUUGUUAUCAAAUAUUUAGAUAUGAAUUCGAAUAAUACAAUAAAAGUUAAAGAGAGAUGGGAAAUUGAGACUAAUUCAACUGUAUCACUGGAUAUGUGGGAAGAAAUAUGUACUGAAGCACAUCUGGUAACUAAUGCAAAUGUGUGGAGGGAAUUUCAAUGGAAGGUAAUCAUGAGGUUCUUCCGGACACCUGAAAUUGUGGCCAAAUUUGGCACAACACACUCAAAUAAAUGCUAGAGAAAUUGUGGUCCACACAUUGGCAACCAAACCCACAUACUUUGGUUAUGCCCAAAAUUAUAAACAUUCUGGGAAGAAGUGUUUGGAACACUUAAAGAAGUAUUUGAAAGUAACAUUACAAUGGACCCUACAGUGGCUCUACUGGGUCUACUACUGAAAGCCAUCGAAGGAAGAGCCAAAAAAUAUCUUCUACAAAUACUACUGACAACAGCAAUUAAAUGCAUCACAGUUAGGUGGCUAAAGCCUAACCCUCCCAACACACAAUAUGUGGAUUGAGAGAAUAAAGGAAAUACAUCAGAUGGAAAAAAUAACUUACUCCCUAAGACUUCAAAAAGACAUAUUUACUAAAAGGUGGAGCCCUGUCAUGGGCAUACUAUGAUAAUGAGGAAUGCCUGUAUUCAUUCCAAAUUGAAUCGAUGUCAUUAAUCUGAUACUUUUUAUUUAUUUAUGAUUCAUGGGUAUCACUCGUUCUAAAAUUGGUUCAGUAUAGACCUUUUACACACUAACCGGAAAUACGUAGACGGCGGGUAACGUGAUUUCCGGUCACUAGUAAACAAAGAUGAAUACCAGCAGAGUCUACUCGACAAACUCAGAAGUUCUAUCUAAGUUUUGCUUUUGCAGAUGUCAUAAAAAAUGUGGAGGCACAUUCAAGCACAAAAGGCAGCAAGUUGAACAAGGGUUACACAUUUUUCCACAAGGAAUUUGUCCACAGUUAUCAAGGUAAGUAGAGAGAUAUCGGUUGAACUGUUAGCAACAAUGACAAAUCAUUAGCGCAUCUACUGUAAGACAUAGGAUAUAGCCGACCAUACUAAAGCAUCAUACUCUGUUUUGAGUGAAGCAAUAUGGCAUCAGAUUUUUGUGUUGAUGGUUGUCAAAGUGAACGUCUUCUACGUAGCAACAAUAAUAUUAGCCGAAUGCUAAUGUAGCUAACAUUUUUCCCUUACGUGUGUGUUUGUGUGUGAUCAUAGUAUCAAAUGUACUAGAUGGGCAGGUUUUUGUGAGGGCUAGAUGCUUCAAAUCCAUGAAGAAGAACAAGGAGCCUCACAAACUAGAGGUUUGACCAUAGAGAGUGCCAGUUGCCAGUUGGCAUAAGCUCCAGGUUCUUAUUGCUUCCUACUGUUCUUGCUGCCGUUGCAGUGUGUGUGAACUUUUCCACACUUCUUCAGCUAGAAGUGUGGAAAAGUUCACACACACUCUUGUUUGUUUGUGUGGCCUUGCUAGCCCCCAGGAGUGCUGCGUUUUAUGUUAUUUGAUUAGAGAGGGACAAAAUAUAUUUUCCAGCAAAAGUCACAGCCUUGACUUAGCUCUUUUACUUUCAUCUCUUUCCAUACUUCUAUUUCAUCUCUCUCUAUAGGCUUUUACUUCAUGUUACUGUUGACAGUGAUGCAAUGUUAUGAUAUUAUAUAUAAUUAUUAUCUUUUGUUGUGUGUAGAUAUCACUGGCCACUGACAGUGGAAGUUUGAUGGCUUAUUCCUGCAGCUGCGUAGCUGGUUAAGGCUUCUGCAACCACGUAGUAGCCCUCCUUUACCAGACUGCACACUAUUCACAGCUCAGUUUGCCGACUGUUCCACCACCCCUGGCCUGCACAAGUGAUUUACAACGCUGGCAUAGACCGAGAACACAGGUGGGUGUAAGGGGAAUCCAUCCUGAACCUGUGAAUGACGUGGUGGUGCAAAAGCCAACGACAGUGGGCAAGAGUGGUCUUAGCUCCACAUUGUACCAGGCAUAUUCAGGACCAUUUCCUGACCCUGACAUGAUGGCACCUGGAGCCAAGCUACGCCAGGAGCAACCCCAGCCUCUCAUUGCUCUCGUAUUAGAUGGCAUGUCUGAGAUAGAGCUGACUCCAUCUAAAUUUGGGCCUGUCCCACAAGGAUCUCUGCUGUCAUAUCAUUGCCCACCUGAAAAGUCCAGUGACCUUAUCCUGCACCACUUGGCUCCUGAAUUCCCGGGUCUUCCUUUUAUGCAGCAUACUUUUUCCAACUUGCACUUUGUUCCAACGUUGCAUCAGCUCAUGCACCUCCAGUCACUCCAAGUGUCACCACAAAUGACCAGUGAAAUUGAGAAGGGAACCAGGCAGCAGUCAAAAUGUCCUGCAUGGGCACAGUUACGUCAACCACGGUUAACUGCCAGUCGCUUUUGAGAGGCCUGCUCUUCCUGGGAGGGAAGUGUGGAGCCAGAGUCUGCAGCAAAGGCCCUCGCUGUCCAAAUGAUAAGAGGCUCCAAAAAGCAAACUGCUGCAAUGAAGCGGGGUCUCCUAAUGGAGUCAGAGGUCCUGGCAAGUUAUGCUGAAGUAAUGCGAGUUAAUGUGCUCCCUGCUGGAUUUGUCAUUCACCCAGAAGCACCACAUCUCGGGGCAAGUCCAGAUGGUAGGGUGUAUGAUCCUUCAGAGUUACCACCAUUUGGACUUGUUGAAGUGAAGAGCACCACUAAACACGAUGCUUCGCAGGUUGCUCACCUUAAGAGGGAAAAUGGCUCUGUCAGCGUGAGGCGUUCACACCGUUACUACUGGCAGGUUCAGGGACAGUUAGCAGUAACCAGCCUAGAGUGGUGUGACUUUGUCACAGACACACAGAUAAGUUUGUCUGUUGAAAGAAUUUGGCGAGAUGAUUCAUUCAUAAUCAAAAUGAAGGACAAAUUAGACCUUUUCUACUACAACACAUACAUGAAUGUUUACUUGGAAUCACACUGAACUGUUUAGGACUCUCAAUAGAUGUCUGAUGUAAUUUACUGUGAAUAAUUUUAAUUAAUCUUUUGUUUUUACUCAUUUUAUAUUUUACAUAUUAACUAAUUAAUUAGUUGAUUUUCAUCUUUGCACAGUAUAAAAUCAAAAUGUUGAUGUUUAUCGAAUCAGUUCAUGUUCAUCUACCUGUCUACAGCAUAACACCUUGCUCAUGGCACACAAGGCCCAAAAUGAUGAUGCUCCCACUUACCCACUGACUGUGAAAUGUGGUGAAUUGAUUCAAUAAAUCAGUUGUUUAAUCA